UUUACCAAUAUCUUUCAAAAACAAAUUAAUAUCUAUUCUACAUAGCCCCACUCCUAUCUGUGUAGCGUCCUCGCAAAUACUCAAUUGAUACCUAUCUAAAAAUUAUCUAACAAAACUCUACAAAAAUUACGAUCCCUCUGGCCUAUCUAAUUAAUCAAUUUCUAUAGUAUUUGUUAUUGGUUCCACCGAUUCUGGUUCCAACU
rnacentral:lncRNA from 1 species